AGGAUUCUACCUCGCGAAGAGACUCCUGGAUGGUCUAAAGGCCGGAAAGCAAAGAAAUUAGGGACAAGACGCAACGGAGAAGAAAUCCCAAAUCUCCAUGGCAUCCCACGCGCCGCCGCCGCGGUCGUUGUCGACCGGAUCCGUCACCGUGACGGUCGAACCCUCCCCCUCUUCCUCCUCUUCCUCCCCUCCGGCGGCCGCGUCGGCGCUGGCGCCGCCGUCCCAUACGGUGGUGCUUCGGCUGAAGCGGCGGGCGAAGAAGAAGGUGACGUGGAAGGAAGGGACGGUGGACAACGAGUUCCUCGGCCGCAAGAGCUCCAAGAAGUGCUGCGUCUUCCUCAAGGAGGUCCCCUUCGACGAGGACUGCAGCGACGAUGAGGGCCCCAACGGCAGGGGCGGCGGGCGCCGCUGCCUGCAGGGAGAGGCCGGCGAGGGCACCGGCAGCGGCGGUGGAGGAUGCUCUUCCUACUCCCACGACCACAACCAUCACCACCACUGAUCUCCAUGCGGGGAUGCGUUCGAAUUGGAGCUUCUUGAUCUCUUUAGGCAGCUUGGAUGGGCCUCCUCAUGGAUACCUGAAGUUAUUGGUUAUCCUACCAUUGGAAACUUGACUUAUUUGUGUCAAACUUUAGGUUACCUUCAGUGAUGGUCAAGCAAGGCAGAGUCAUGUAUUCAGGUGAAGCCGGAGAAAUGCGGGCAAUAUAUACUUGCAGGUCGUUGUAUCAGCUGAUAAUAAAUUCUGGAUCUCGUUCCUGUAAGGUUCAUCGUUUUAAUUCCUGUAAGGUGCGACGCAAGAUCAAAUCCUUUCUGUGGUUCCUUAUCUGGUAUUAAUUCAAAGAGGAGACAUUUGUGAGGUGAUGAGUAAUGAAAGGGUUGUCGUUUGAGAGGGACCAUAGACCAUAUCUUUUUUAAUGAGGUUUUUCCACGUGUUGAAUCAAUUUUAAACCAGUCUACUUGCCCAGUUUGUAUGGAUUGUGGGUGCUUUAAGAUGCGUGCAGCUUCUGUACCCUCAAUUCCACUUGCCCAGUUUGUUUGGAUUGUGAUCGCUUAGUUGUGGUGUGGUAUGUUCUCCGGUCUUAAUGGUUCAUUGUUGCAGCACCUGGGUGACAGGGAGCAAUAUGAAACCAGAUUUGCCGCUUCAAGU